rnacentral:tmRNA from 1 species
UAGCAUGCAGUUAAAUAAAAAGACGUGGAUAAACAUGUAGAGCAGAAGGCAGAGGACUUGCGGACGCGGGUUCGAUUCCCGCCGCCUCCACCA